UACGUAGGGUCCGAGCGUUAAUCGGAAUUACUGGGCGUAAAGCGUGCGCAGGCGGUUUUGUAAGCCAGAUGUGAAAUCCCCGGGCUUAACCUGGGAACUGCAUUUGGGACUGCAAGGCUCGAGUACGGCAGAGGGAGGUGGAAUUCCACGUGUAGCAGUGAAAUGCGUAGAGAUGUGGAGGACACCGAUGGCGAAGGCAGCCUCCUGGGCCAGUACUGACGCUCAUGCACGAAAGCGUGGGGAGCAAACAGG
rnacentral:rRNA from 1 species